CAAAUACCCACCAUUUGCUUCAACGUGGAUGGAACUGGAGGGUAUUAUGCUGAGUGAAGCUGAUGAUAACUCCCAACUUUCGCACCUUAGAUUUUCUGCCAUAGAAAGAUCACAUGAUGUUCUCCCUCCAAGUUCAAAGCAUUGAGAAGAGUUCUAAGUAGCCCAGUCAACCUCUGGACCAACUGAUGACAGGAUCUUGUAAGAAGAUAUUAUAGAUCUUAUAAGAACUUGCUCUACUUCAGACUGUGUUGACCAGGAUGUCUGUAUUCCAUACCUUGGUCAUCCUCCCAGGAGCCGGUAAGCUAGCCAGGGAUCAUAGGAGGCUUCUGAAGUUUAGACUCAGAACCAUCCUAACACUGCCACUGCUACUCAUAUGCCACUGGUCAAUGUAAAUCACAUGGCUAAAAAGUGAGUAAAAGGACAGAGAAAUACUUUCUGCCCACAGUGAAGCUAUAGUCAGAGUGGGAUACAGAGGAUUGGGAAGGAUGGGGCUCAAUCAUUUCAUCCAUCAUAAGGGGUAAAUGUGAGAAACAGCUGACAGAGAAAGAUUGGAUGUUGGGCAAAUGAGACAAUAGGUAUCCAGCAUAGUAAUAUCACAUAGAUACAAACAUAAGAAAACCAGGUAGUAUAUUUUAUCAAUCCCAAAAUGCUAAAGUAGAAAGUAAUCGGAAGAGAACUGUCUUACAAUGUAACAAGUACUGUACUAAGAAUUUUACAGAUAGAAUCUCAAAGGAGGAACAGAAAAGCUAUAUUUAAUCUGAAACAAUGUCAUUUUGCCUAUAAACUCUCACAGGUUCCAAAGAAAGUGUCCUAGAAGAUUCCAAGUUAAUGUCUGUUUUCCAGUUGCUGCUUCUUUAGGAGUACGUCCUGCCUUGGUGUAAUCUUUAUGUUUAUAAGAGAAAGGCACCAGCACGGUGCUUCCUUUUCUUCCCAGUAUUGGGAAAUCAAAGUGUUCACAGUUGUAAACACAUUUAAAAAGACAAUAUCUAGUAUAAAUUAGGUUGUCAAAUUUUUACUCUCUCAUUUGAGAGAAUAAAUCUUGAUUGAUGAAUUUAAGUAAUAUGUCUUCUAUAUGCACAUUUAUACUGUACACAUUUCACACAGCCUUGCUUAUAGGAAAUUUUAUAUUUUGCUGAGAUAUCCUUCUUUAGUUAAUACUGAUCAGUUGUUUAAAAAAAAGAAUGAUUUAAUGUGGUAGAGUUAAAUCUUUAUUCAUGCUUCACUAUAAAAUUAAUAGGAAGCUAUUAAAUCCAGAGCGUAGUAAAGAACUCUAAGAGUUUCAU